GACGAACGCUGGCGGCGUGCCUAAUACAUGCAAGUAGAACGCUGAAGGAGGAGCUUGCUUCUCCGGAUGAGUUGCGAACGGGUGAGUAACGCGUAGGUAACCUGCCUGGUAGCGGGGGAUAACUAUUGGAAACGAUAGCUAAUACCGCAUAACAGUAGAUAUCGCAUGAUAUCUGCUUGAAAGGUGCAAUUGCAUCACUACCAGAUGGACCUGCGUUGUAUUAGCUAGUUGGUGAGGUAACGGCUCACCAAGGCGACGAUACAUAGCCGACCUGAGAGGGGGAUCGGCCACACUGGGACUGAGACACGGCCCAGACGCCUACGGGAGGCAGCAGUAGGGAAUCUUCGGCAAUGGACGGAAGUCUGACCGAGCAACGCCGCGUGAGUGAAGAAGGUUUUCGGAUCGUAAAGCUCUGUUGUAAGAGAAGAACGAGUGUGAGAGUGGAAAGUUCACACUGUGACGGUAUCUGACCAGAAAGGGACGGCUAACUACGUG
rnacentral:rRNA from 1 species